UCAUAUUUUAGAGGUGAGGCUGUUGGUCUGGUUUUGUUUUUCUUUUAUUUUUUCCUUGCUCUCAUGCUAUUCACUAGUCUCAUUAAUAACAUAGCUGAUAGAAUAGGAAGUAUUAGUUAAUGAAGUCAAGAGAUUAUGCUCAGUGUAGAAAGUUGUAAUUGUUUGGAGAUUCAAGCAAAAGUAGUCAGUAAAUAGUAUUAAAUUAUUCUCUCUAUCUAUCUGGCUCUAGAAAAGUCAGAGGUUGUGUAGCCUGGAAGUGUUUUUUUUGACUGUGGGGGCUGCACCUUCACCCCUAUCUUGAAGUGUAGAAUAAGAUAUUGGUGGGUUUUUUACAAAAUAUGGCUUGUGGGAGUGUGCAUCUGAGAGUACCUGAGUUUUAGGUCUUGAAAUGCAUAUUAUGUAACAACUACUUUUCUUCGCUUGCACAGUAACAUCCACUGGAGGUGGGAGUAGAAUCUGUUUCCAUAAAGUAUUUGCAUUUGAAUAUUUAGUCUGACUCUUCCCCCUCUUCCAUCAAUAAACCCACAACUUUUAAGCUUGACACAGAUUUUCUAGGAAGAUACAGAACUGUUGCUGGAAAUAGUGGUAUAAACUGUUAUCUGGGAUGAUUUAUAGCUGAUAAAUCUUACCACUGGGAAGAUGAAGGUAUAGAUGGGGUUGGGUCAUUAGCAAGUGUACCUAAAUAUUGUACUUCUCUUGGGGGGGGAUCUGAUGAUGUCAGCAUUCCCUACCUGUGUUGUAUGGAUGUGGUCAUUAGCAGCCCUUUUCCACCCUGAGAGGGAGAGCGGAGCAAUGGGAGAUAUCUCGUUGCAAAAAUCCAUGCAGUAUAAGAACAUGAGCACUUGUAUCUGCAUAUUCUUAAGUAUAGUUCUGAAGCUGGAUUUCAUCUGAACAAAUUGAUGCUGGAAUAAUCCCGAACUGAGUAGGAAGCAUUAAAAAUACUACUUUCUAAUGAUGUUCAAGUGCUUUUUGCCAAUAAUUGUAUUUAAAAGGAACUUUCUGCUCUCAAGAUGUAAGUGGUUGUGCAAUUUGUUACGUGCAAUUUAGUACACAUCACUGAAAACAUUGAUUCAGUACAGACAGAAAUUUACAGAGAUAAAGUCAAUAAAUAUUUUGUACUACUUGUAGUUGUGAAAUGCAUUGCUUAUAAUUGCUAAAAUCGAAGAAGGUGGAUGAGAAAAGAA